rnacentral:rRNA from 1 species
UAACCGGCGAAACCGGCGACUAAUACCCCAUAUGUUGCGAUGCUGCAUGGCAUUGCAAUGAAAGAUUCAUCGGUGGCGGAUAGGCUCGCGGGACAUUAGCUAGACGGCGGGGCAACGGCCCACCGUGGCGACGAUGUCUAGGGGUUCUGAGAGGAAGACCCCCCACACUGGGACUGAGACACGGCCCAGACUCCUACGGGAGGCAGCAGUGAGGAAUAUUGGUCAAUGGGCGGAAGCCUGAACCAGCCAUGCCGCGUGAAGGACUAAGGCCCUACGGGUCGUAAACUUCUUUAGACGCAGAGCAAUAAGGUCCACGAGUGGACCGAUGAGAGUAUGCGUAGAAUAAGCAUCGGCUAACUCCGUGCCAGCAGCCGCGGUAAUACGGGGGAUGCAAGCGUUAUCCGGAUUCAUUGGGUUUAAAGGGUGCGUAGGCGGCCGAGUAAGUCAGCGGUGAAAGACCGGGGCUCAACCCUGGAAGUGCCGUUGAUACUGUUUGGCUGGAAUGAUCCCGCCGCGGGAGGAAUGAGUGGUGUAGCGGUGAAAUGCAUAGAUAUCACUCAGAACACCGAUUGCGAAGGCAUCUCGCGAGGGGUCAAUUGACGCUGAGGCACGAAAGCGUGGGGAUCGAACAGGAUUAGAUACCCUGGUAGUCCACGCGGU